GACGAACGCUGGCGGCGUGCCUAAUACAUGCAAGUAGAACGCUGAAGGAGGAGCUUGCUUCUCCGGAUGAGUUGCGAACGGGUGAGUAACGCGUAGGUAACCUGCCUGGUAGCGGGGGAUAACUAUUGGAAACGAUAGCUAAUACCGCAUAAGAGUAGAUGUCGCAUGACAUUUGCUUAAAAGGUGCAGCUGCACCACUACCAGAUGGACCUGCGUUGUAUUAGCUAGUUGGUGAGGUAACGGCUCACCAAGGCAACGAUACAUAGCCGACCUGAGAGGGUGAUCGGCCACACUGGGACUGAGACACGGCCCAGACUCCUACGGGAGGCAGCAGGAGGGAAUCUUCGGCAAUGGACGGAAGGCUGACCGAGCAACGCCGCGGGAGUGAAGAAGGUUUUCGGAUCGUAAAGCUCUGUUGUAAGAGAAGAACGAGUGUGAGAGUGGAAAGUUCACACUGUGACGGUAUCUUACCAGAAAGGGACGGCUAACUACGUG
rnacentral:rRNA from 1 species